ensembl:snoRNA
UAAAAGGCUCCUAUCGAAGCCAUUCAUGCUCCCGUGUAGCAGUGAGUGGUCAAAAGGAAGCCGAGAUCAAGACUUUCACCGACGGUCGCUGUUCAGUUUUGAAAAUAACUGCUCCAGCAACAUUUAGGGGAAGGACAUUU